rnacentral:ncRNA from 2 species
GGUCAUGAGCGCCAGCGCCAAGCCCCGGCUCGCUGGCCGGCAACCCUCCUCCGCGGUGGGGUGCCCCGGGUGACGACCUGGCGGACGUCGAGGUGACGCCCGCAAGCGCGGACC